GCACAGGCUGUAUAAGGGAGGUCAACACAUCUGGAUGACCCCUGGUGGCUGGCUGCAGUGUAGGUCAUAAGCCCUGCCCCCUCCAUGUUAGCGGAUGGGACAUCGGCCAAAAUAAAUAA